AUGAAGAACGUAGCGAAAUGCGAUAAGUAAUGUGAAUUGCAGAAUUCAGUGAAUCAUCGAAUCUUUGAACGCACAUUGCGCCCGCCAGUAUUCUGGCGGGCAUGCCUGUUCGAGCGUCAUUUCAACCAUCAAGCCCCAGGCUUGUGUUGGAGCCCUGCGGCUGCCGCAGCCUCCCAAAACCAGUGGCGGGCUCGCUAUCACACCGAGUGCAGUAGUUUACUCUUCGCUCAGGGCGUGUGGCGGGUGCUAGCCGUAAAACCCCCAACUUCUCAAGGUUGACCUCGGAUCAGGUAGGAAUACCCGCUGAACUUAAGCAUAUCAAUAAGCGGAGGA
rnacentral:misc_RNA from 1 species